rnacentral:rRNA from 1 species
GUGGGGAAUAUUGGACAAUGGGCGAAAGCCUGAUCCAGCCAUGCCGCGUGAGUGAUGAAGGCCCUAGGGUUGUAAAGCUCUUUCACCGGGGAAGAUAAUGACGGUACCCGGAGAAGAAGCCCCGGCUAACUUCGUGCCAGCAGCCGCGGUAAUACGACGGGGGCUAGCGUUGCUCGGAAUUACUGGGCGUAAAGGGCGCGUAGGCGGACAGUUUAGUCAGAGGUGAAAGCCCAGGGCUCAACCUUGGAAUUGCCUUUGAUACUGGCGGUCUUGAGUACGGGAGAGGUGAGUGGAACUCCGAGUGUAGAGGUGAAAUUCGUAGAUAUUCGGAAGAACACCAGUGGCGAAGGCGACUCACUGGCCCGUUACUGACGCUGAGGCGCGAAAGCGUGGGGAGCAAACAGGAUUAGAAACCCUUGUAGUCC